AGAUGUGAAGGCAAUCUAUCUGUGACAUCUGUCACCCCAUUGAUCACCAGGGUGGAUUCAGCUGAUCUGGUUGGCUAGGUGGGUGUCCUCUCCUUCCCUCAAUGCUCCACAUGGGUCCCUCCCAAAGCUUCCUGCUUGAGAAGAGGAUGGCCUUCUUCAAUAAAGGAGGACUGGUCUUCAGUCAAGGGUAUAUGAGCAGCUGUGCUCGCUACAAGAACAUGCAAACUCUCAUAUAACUGAAGGCAUGUGUAGUCCCUAAAUGCCUUAGCACACUGAUUAAGUUCAUAUGGCUUUACCCCAAUAGGAAUUAUUUU
rnacentral:snRNA from 1 species